rnacentral:rRNA from 1 species
GGCUACGACCAUAGCACUAUGAAUGCAUGUGAUCUCAGAAGCUAAGCACUGUGGGGCCUGACUAGUACAUGGUUGGGGAAAGCAUGGAUGUAGUAAGGC